UAGGGAAUCUUCCGCAAUGGACGCAAGUCUGACGGAGCAACGCCGCGUGAGUGAAGAAGGAUUUCGGUUCGUAAAACUCUGUUGUUAGAGAAGAACAGCGCAUAGAGUAACUGUUAUGCGUGUGACGGUAUCUAACCAGAAAGCCACGGCUAACUACGUGCCAGCAGCCGCGGUAAUACGUAGGUGGCAAGCGUUGUCCGGAUUUAUUGGGCGUAAAGCGAGCGCAGGCGGUCAAUUAAGUCUGAUGUGAAAGCCCCCGGCUCAACCGGGGAGGGUCAUUGGAAACGGGUUGACUUGAGGGCAGAAGAGGAGAGUGGAAUUCCAUGUGUAGCGGUGAAAUGCGUAGAUAUAUGGAGGAACACCAGUGGCGAAGGCGACUCUCUGGUCUGUAACUGACGCUGAGGCUCGAAAGCGUGGGUAGCAAACAGG
rnacentral:rRNA from 1 species